rnacentral:rRNA from 1 species
CUAAGAAUAUUCCGCAAUGGGCGAAAGCCUGACGGAGCGACGCCGCGUGGAUGAUGAAGGCCGGAAGGUUGUAAAGUCCUUUUAUGACAGAGGAAUAACCGGGGCAGGGAAUGGCACCGGGGUGACUGUAGGUCAUGAAUAAGCACCGGCUAAUUACGUGCCAGCAGCCGCGGUAACACGUAAGGUGCGAGCGUUGUUCGGAAUUAUUGGGCGUAAAGGGCAUGUAGGCGGACCUGCAAGCUUGGAGUGAAAUCCACGGGCUCAACCCGUGAACUGCUCCGAGAACUGCAGGACUCGAAUCGCUGAGGGGAAC